rnacentral:rRNA from 1 species
UGCGAGUCUUUGUAGUAAUACAAGGCAGACGGCUCAGUAACACGUAGUCAACCUACCCUAUGGACGAGAAUAAUCUCGGGAAACUGAGCAUAAUUCUCGAUAGAUCAUAAUGCCUGGAAUGGUUUAUGGUUAAAAUGAUUCGUCGCCAUAGGAUGGGACUGCGGCCUAUCAGCUUGUUGGUGAGGUAAUGGCCCACCAAGGCGAUUACAGGUACGGGCUCUGAGAGGAGAAGCCCGGAGAUGGGUACUGAGACACGGACCCAGGCCCUAUGGGGCGCAGCAGGCGAGAAAACUUUGCAAUGUGCGAAAGCACGACAAGGUUAAUCCGAGUGAUUUCUGCUAAAGAGAUCUUUUGUCAGUCAUAAAACCACUGGCGAAUAAGGGGUGGGCAAGUUCUGGUGUCAGCCGCCGCGGUAAAACCAGCACCUC